CCUACGGGUGACAGCAGUGGGGAAUAUUGGGCAAUGGGCGCAAGCCUGACCCAGCAACGCCGCGUGAAGGAAGAAGGCUUUCGGGUUGUAAACUUCUUUUCUCAGGGACGAAGCAAGUGACGGUACCGGAGGAAUAAGCCAGGGCUAACGACGUGCCAGCAGCCGCGGUAAUACGUAGGUGGCAAGCGUUAUCCGGAUUUACUGGGUGUAAAGGGCGUGUAGGCGGGAAAGCAAGUCAGAUGUGAAAACCAUGGGCUCAACCUGUGGCCUGCAUUUGAAACUGUUUUGCUUGAGUACUGGAGAGGUAGACGGAAUGCCUAGUGUAGCGGUGAAAUGCGUAGAUAUUAGGAGGAACACCAGUGGCGAAGGCGGUCUGCUGGACAGCAACUGACGCUGAGGCGCGAAAGCGUGGGGAGCAAACAGGAUUAGAUACCCUGGUAGUC
rnacentral:rRNA from 1 species